AAGAGUUAGGGUCUUUCAGGCCCGACCUCCCAACCCUUUGUUUACUGAACCAUUGUUGCUUCGGUGGGUCCGUCUCACGACCGCCGGGGGGGGACCGCCGCGAGGCCACCCCUCCCCUGGCCCGCACCCGCCGAUAGCCCAACCUUUAAAAUCCUUUAUGAAUCGUGUCUUAUGUCUAAAUCAUGAUAACAAAUCAAAUUA
rnacentral:misc_RNA from 1 species